rnacentral:rRNA from 1 species
AACGAACGCUGGCGGCGUGGAUUAGGCAUGCAAGUCGAACGGUAGACAGGCCUUCGGGCCUGUUGAGAGUGGCGAACGGGUGAGUAUCGCGUGAGCAACCUGCCUUCAAGUGGGGAAUAACAUCUCCAACGAGGUGCUAAUACCGCAUAAUAGAGGUCUCGCAUGGGACCUCUUAAAAGGCGACCUCUGAUUCAAGUUGUCGCUUGAAGAUGGGCUCGCGUUCCAUUAGCUUGUUGGCAGGGUAACGGCCUACCAAGGCGACGAUGGAUAGCCGGCCUGAGAGGGUGUCCGGCCACACUGGGACUGAGAUACGGCCCAGACUCCUACGGGAGGCAGCAGUCGAGAAGCUUGCCCAAUGGGGGAAACCCUGAGGCAGCGACGCCGCGUGGGUGAUGAAGCUUUUUGGAGUGUAAAGCCCUUUUGGUGGGGACGAAUCACAGAGGUGCCAAUACCAUCUCUGUUUGACGGUACCUGCAGAAGAAGCUCCGGCUAACUUCGUGCCAGCAGCCGCGGUAAUACGAGGGGAGCGAGCGUUGUUCGGAUUUACUGGGCGUAAAGGGCGUCUAGGCGGACCUGCAAGUCAGAUGUGAAAGCCCCCGGCUCAACCGGGGAAUGGCAUUUGAAACUGUGGGUCUUGAGUACAGAAGAGGAAAGCGGAAUUCCUGGUGUAGCGGUGAAAUGCGUAGAUAUCAGGAAGAACACCGGUGGCGAAGGCAGCUUUCUGGGCUGAUACUGACGCUGAAGCGCGAAAGCGUGGGGAGCAAACAGGAUUAGAUACCCUGGUAGUCCACGCCGUAAACGAUGGGCACUAGGUGUUGGGAGUAUCGACUCUUCCAGUGCCGUAGCUAACGCAUUAAGUGCCCCGCCUGGGGAGUACGAUCGCAAGGUUG